rnacentral:lncRNA from 1 species
AAAGGGCCUCUGGGAAUCAUCUCAUUUGAUCAGAAAUUUCCCACCUUGGACAGCCUCUGACAGGCCUCUCUGGCACAGUCUCACCCUUGUUAGCCUAGAGCCACGUUUUUUAUACCUGGGGGAUUUCUAUCCUGGCUGCAGCUGUCUCCCCACUUUGCUGUUACAAAAACCACUGGCAACAGAGAGCAGGGGCCUCUGCUCUUGGCCUCUGAUUUCCCCAAAUGCUUGCCCUCUGCCUGCUGUUCCUGGCCUCUCGCUGCCUGGUCUACCCUGCUCUGUUCCUCAUCAACCUCCAUUUCAAAGAGCCCACUGACAGGUCACACAGAACUGAGCCGACGGCCAGUGCAGCCGAGGCCCGGCAGGGGGUGGCAGCCUGGUGCCAGACAGUGACCUGCUGGGGCCCUCAGAAAGAAAAGGGGCUGUCACCACCGACACCUCAGAGCAACAAGGAGGAUUAUGAGGCUUGCAUACCUACUGCACCAACCCAUACGAAGUCAAUGAACAGGAUGAGGCCAAGUCAAUAAUACAGAUGAAGAGCAGUACAACCAUGUCUUCAUGCCUUACUGAAAAGCAAAGAUGUAUUUUAUAUCUGGAUUUUCUUUGCACUGAUAAAACGAUAUCAGC